rnacentral:lncRNA from 1 species
GGCCUGUUUGAGCAGGCAUUGCAAAUCUUAAAAACAAUAAGAUGAAUAAUCAUCACUGUUUGAUCACUGCCAUUUAUUGAGUACCUUCUCCAUGGCAGAUGCUAAGAUAAGACCUAACAUGCAUCAUCUCUGAUUUUACAAGUCUUCGAGGUUGCAGCCAUGAAAAUGCCCUGGUCAGCCAUGAUUGACCAUGACAGGGGUACUAGUGCAGGCCUGUUCCUGCUGGACAUGGAACCCCUCUAAUGGCUUAAGGACUCCCACUGGCUGGCAGAAACUUUCUUAGAACAACACUGUAGUCUAAGACUCUUCCUACUGAAUUCUCUUUCCUUCUCCCUCUCCUUUCAUGGGGGUCAGGCCUGCACUGCAGUCUGGGGCUUCCUCUGCCUACUUCAGUUCCUUCCUGAACAUUUUACAGGUGUUUCCCCCAAUAAUUCUCUUAUAUGCCUAAUCCCAUCUUGGUGCCUGCAUCUCGAAGGAACUAACACAGUGGACAGGAGUCCCAUUUUGCAGACAGACACUGGAUCAAUGAUGAAGUUACUUGUGUAAGUCCUACAGCCAACAAAUGUUAAGAGCUGGGGUUGUGUGCAGGUAUGUUUGAUUCCACAAGCCAAGUCUUAGAAGCAUACUAGGCUUCCUCUCUAAUGAUCUAUGCAGGCUUAACUGUGAGGACAGGGAGUGAUGACACAUUUCAGUUUGGCCCCUUUGUUUUGUCGAUGAGAAACCUGAGACCAGUGAGGGAAAGGAUUCGCCCAUGGGUGCCAGUGGGAGGGGUGCACCUGGGCUGUGCACAGCCAUUUCCCUCCUUUGGAGGCUGAGGGAGGAGGUCACAGGGAGGCCUCAGGGUAUGGAGGGAGGUCAGGCUGGGGGGCUUAGUGUCUGACCCACCAGCCUGGCAGGCGGGAAUGUGCCUGUAGAAGCCCACGGCCCUCUUGGGGAGAAGCCAUGAAGUGAGGACUGAGUGCUGCCUGGAGGUGCUGGCUGGGAUGCACAGGGAAGAGCUGUCAGGGUAUGGGUCUAACACUGGAACAGCUGGGGGACAUUCCCUGGAUAUCCCUGCAUUGCCUUGAGGCUCUCCCAUCCCUGUUUGAUCCGUAAGCUCCAAGGAGACAUGUUUCCCAGCCAUAAUGCCUUCUGAUCCCAAUCUCUUCUACUCUUUUCAUUGGCAAGAGUCAUUCUCACCCGGGUUUUCUUAUAUAAUAAUUAUAAACUCAUUCAGGGCCUGUGAGUGAAAAGGCACACAUAUACAUUCAGGUCUAAUAUUCACUGAGCAACCAUCAGCACAAUGGUAUGUGACCUCUUUGAAUGCUGCACUAAUGCUCCACUGUCUAGAAGGAGGCCAGACUGCUCUGGGGACCAGGUGCAGAGGGUGCCCUCAAGUGUCUAGUGUCAGAGAGAGAGGGGCUACUCCACUUUGGCCAGGGUGAACUUGAGUUGGUGAUGACAAACAUCUGCAGCUAGUCUAUUUUUCUAAUCUCACCCUCCAAACAGCCCCAUCUUCUUGCAGGGAGGAUGGGUGAAGGCAUUUUCAAAAAUGGACAUCACAUGUGACAAACAGGCAAAGGACCCUGACAGAGCCACAAAACUGACACGCUCAUGAAAACUCAGACCGCUGACAAUGGUGAGCGCCGACCAAUUCAGCGCCAGGCGUGGAGGCUUCUGGCAAGAGUGGUGGGCUCUGUGCGUCCUGAUGGUGGCAGCAGAGACCAGCUUGGGAGCCACCUGGCUCCUCUGCCCUAGCCCAUUAUGGCCUGAAUCCAAUCAAUUUCAGUUCUCAGCACUUCUGAAAACGUGCGUGGCUUAGAGUGUCUGGCAGGGCUCAGGAGAGAAAAGCAUUUCUCAGCCCCGGGACACAUAUAUGCCUCCAGGCACUGGUUGUGGCUUGCAAUCUGGGAGGGCAGGUGAACGGACACCCUCCCUCCUUGCACAGGCCUGGGAUCUGCCUUACUCAACUCCCACUUCUACCAGGAGCAGAGGAUCACCGCUGCCCAGCACCCCGCCCAUCUGAAUUCUGACUCUGGUGGCUUCAGAGAAGCAAGGUAGGGGCCAGUGCUGGUAUGAAAUGCCAGAUGAGAGGAAACUGAUGCAUGCACUUUACUCCUGACUCAGAGUGCCUGAAAUAUCUGGCAAACUGGCAAAGGAUGAAACCCUUCUUUGAGGUCUGUAGAGUAGCUUUAAGAUAAAUGAAGCCACUGAGAAGGUCCAAAACAAGGGGCCCUUAGACGUGGAAGAGGUCUGCUUUCCUGAUAACUAGAGUGGUGCUGGGCUAUGAAAACAGUCCAAAUAGAUGAGGAUAGUUCCUGAGAGCACAGGGUUCUGAAGCUGGACAAAUAUUCUUCCACCUUAAUGGCCCUCUCACUGGAGCCUUCACAGGGUUAACGAUGGUCCCGCAGGAGUUGGGGCCAUGACUGAGGACAUGGAGCUGAUGUGGAGGCAGUCAGGGCCAAGGCAAGAGCCUCCUUGUGUAUAGUGGAAACGCAAGACAGACAUCAAAGGGAGUGGGGUGUGCGGUUCCCAAGGGGCUACCAGAGUCCACUUUUAUUAAAAGUUUGUGUCUUUCUUUAGAAAGUAAUAUGUUCCAUCUCCAGCACCUGAAGGCUCCUUUCAGGGUGCCAGAAGAAUCCUCAAGGGACAGUCCCAGGCUGUGUCCUUCCUCCUGUCUUGGCUGACAUUUUUAUGCAUGGUUUAGGCAGCCCAUGGGCUUUCCAGCUUUGCAAUAAGAUCUGAUCUAAUUUCAAGCUUAUACAUAACAGAAGGGCUGGGGGAGAAGUAGGAGUUCUUUUAGAAUUGCAAAAUCCAGGUGGGUGUAGCCUGUGGGGUGCAGGCUAUCCAGCUCAAAGAGGGAGGCCCAUAUCUCAGAUUCCCUAAUGCUCGGCACAGUGUCUGGCACACAAUGGGCACACAGGAAAUCCUGCACUGAAUCAAACAGAUUUUGUAUUACCAGAUCUAGGCUGACUCACUGUGUGGUCAGGACCUUGGGUCAAUCACUUCACCUGGUGACUCACUCCCUACCUGUAAGGUGUGGAGGACAGCUGGAGUCACUGUGGCACCUGUGUGUUUAGCAGUGUGUUUGCUUGUUCCUGCUUUUAUGUCUCUGGCUGGUCUAAGAUGGAAUGAUAAAAAAAUAACGGAAUGCACUUUGUAAACGAGAGCAUCCUAGACACAUGUAAAGAUUGGAAAAUUAGAAAGCUGUCUCUACUGUAGUUACUUCUCAGAUAUGACCAACCAUUAUUAAGAAUUCAUUGGCUAAUAGGGCUACAUUUUCUCAUGAUCAUUCUUCUGUUUUAGAAGUGGGCAACUGCAGUUUUAAGAAUAAAUGUGUAAAUGUGUGUUUUCAUGAGAGACAAUAAAGCUGUUUUCAUUAAGAAUGAAAUAUGCAACUUGCAAACACUUUUACUUUUCUUGAAUUGGGUCCUUCAGCAGAAGCAGUUUGCCCAGCCCUGACAUGGAAAGUUUACUUUGCUCAUCAACCUGAAGGAGACCGAAAGCUAUGAGAGGCGGCUCCUGAAAAGAAUCUAGACUCCGGAUAUAAAAAGAUCUUGCAACACAAGGCCAAGUGGAAAUCAUGGUUCGCAUUAAAGGCAUAAACCUCCUGCACUAACAACCCAGAGCAGGAGGAAAAGCUGGGAGACCUGGCUCAGCAGCCUUCCCUGAGGGAAGCCUUCGGGGCUUUGUUCCUCUUGAGAUCAGGGCAAGCCUAUGUAUGACCUGAAGCCAAUACAACCAGCAGAGCUGAUGCCAGUGCUGGCUGCCUGAGUGCUACUAAAGAAAGAGUCCACCAUCGGCUCCCUCUUCCGUAGCCAGACACAGGUGGAAUGCUGUGCUUCCUUUUGGGAGACAAAGCAGAAGCUACCCCAGAGGGGGCAGAUGGGAGACAGGCCCAGGCAAUGCAGCCCUACAAAGAAGACUUGAAGGGCCGGGGCUGAGCAGCUUGGAUGAAGAGAAGGCUGCCUUUCAGAGCUGUUUCAAAUGUUUCAGACGUUGCUAGACAAACUAGAGUUGUAUGGCUUCAGAUGGCACAGCUUAGGGCCAUAGAGUGGGAAUCACAAGAAGGCAAACUUUAGGCCCCCAGGAGAGCUGGACAACAACCUGGAGGGUCAGAGGAGAAUGGGCUGUCCAAGGAGCGGGGAUAUGAGGGUGGGGCAGUGUGGCCAUCCCUGGAAGGGGUAAGGGAGUGGCAGAUGGUAACCAUUUGGGGUGGGGUGUGGCUGAGGAUUCCUGCAAGGCUAUCAGAGAAACUCUAAGAAUCAUAAGAAUCAAAGCUCAAGUACAUGAGGGAAGACAUAAUGAAAUCCCUAAAGUUCUGAGAGGUUGUACCAGAUUCUUUAUGGAGAAUACAGAGAGAAUGCCUCCUGACUCCUCAUUCACAGAGUGCCAGGCAGCAGCAAGGAGAAGCUGGUGGCCUUGGGAGGGCAAAAACUAAGGACAAGGUCCACAAUGCAAUCAGCUCACAUCACCUACGAACAAAUAAAGUGGGGUGGGGGUGGAGAGUUGCUAGAGUUUACGUAACUCUCAAGCCUUAAUUUAGCUGCAAGAACUAGGUUUUUGCCAAAGCUAUAGAACUUCCCACCAGAUGAAAGCUUUAUCUCUUUUUCUUUCUUAGGAGAAGAGAGACAGAAGGAGAGAAGAGGGGCAGGAGGAGAGAAAACACAAGAAAGAGGAUGGAAGAUAAAGAGGAAGGUUUUUGAGACUAUGCAGAAGUUAUUCCAUGAGUUCCAAGCCCAGGUCAUGAAAGAUAACUUGUAAUAAAUCUGGCUACCCUGAAGCUGCCAUGCUUGAGAGACCACACGAGAUGGAGAGAGAUGCUUAGGAGUCCCAGCUGUCCAAGCCUCCAGCUAUGUGAAUCUUCCCAGCAGCAACUGCCAGACAUGUGGUACACCCAAAAUGACUUUGGGGCUACACUUGGAAUUGGCAAGGUUCCAGAAAACAGAGGGACUAUCAUCAGAGACAGCGCACAAAAAGUGGGAGAAAGGUCACCAGCCUCACUCAUGUUUAGGGCUAUUAUGAAUAAAGCUGCUAUGAACACUUGUUUACAAGUUCUUUGUGAGGACACAUGUUUUCAUUUAUCUUGGGAAAAUACCUAGAGAUGGAACUCUGGGACACAUGGUAAUAAAGUAUAUUGGCAUAAUGCAAGAGUCAAGAUGCAGAAAAUAACUACUGUGUGAUGUCUCUCUCCCAGCUUUAACCCGCCUGAAGGGCAGCACUGAGUUCAACACACUGUCCCACAAUUGUUGCACUCUCACACUGAAGUGAACAGAUUCUUUCUCCGUGCCGUGCAGCUCCCGGCAGAGGAUGAGGGAAGGGUACCAUCGGUGAUUCAGCACUGUGUUUCCUAUCCUCUUCAAUGACUCUUUCAGCGAUAUGAAGGUAAAACCAGGUACUGUGAGUGCUCAUCUUAUUUUUGGUUCUUUUGAAGGUGUUUUUUGGUGUAGAUAGUUAUUAAAUUUGGUGUUCCCGCAUGGGGGAACAAUUGAUAGAGCCUUCUAUUUGAUCAUUUUGCUCUGCUCAUUCUAUAUACCACAUUUUCUUUAUCAAAUCUUAUUUAAUUUUGAUUCCAUAAUUUACUAAAGACUAAAUGUGAUAUGCUAAGUUUUUCACAACAAUUAUAUUUUAUCCCACUUUUUUGUCUUCAAAUAGCUUUUGCUUUUGUAUUUCUGUGCUAUGUUAUAGUACAUUACACAUUCAUUGUGGAUUGCAACUUUUAUAAAACAAUCCUCUAUCCAAAGCAUUUUCCUCUGGAGUUUUAUUUUAACCAAUAUUAAUAGUGCCACUACUACCUUGUUCUGACUUUUGCUUUUUUUGAUUUAAAAAUAUAUUUGUUUUAUUUUUGUCUGAUUUUUCUCUAUCUUUAUUUGUAAAUCUUUUGUGUCAUUUGAGUUAGGUGAAUGGAGCACAUGGCUAUGCUUUGUUUUAAAUGAAAGUCUUUGUCAUCCAGCGGAGGACUUUAAUUCAUUUACAUUUAUUGACAUAAAUGUUGGUAGGUCUUAUUUCUCUCAUCUUGCUUUACAAUUUCUAUUUUACUGCUUGUAUUGCUUUUAUUUUGAUGCUUCCUUAUUUCUUCAUCUUUAAAGUAUAUGUACUGCUAUUUUCCUACCAUAAUUACAUUUCUCUAAUUACAAAUAUGAAACUCUGAAUCUCUUCCUUACCAAUCCUAUGUAAAAUAAGAAAUUUAUCAAGCUGGUGGGCUUGAUAAAGGGCUUACCCAUUCCUGUUUCUAAACAAACAAUUAUGCUUAUUUAAACAAUCUGUUCCAAACAACUACCAGCAAAAAUGUGAACUGUUCUUCAUUAGUCUACUAAUUGAAUUUUCUAACUAUCCUGAUGCCAGGAACACCAUGUAUCAGUUAUGCCUAAAAUGUCAUUUAAAAAUAAAAUUGCUUGAGGACAAAUCAGAAAUUAGCAUCUUUAACUAUUUAACUAUUUAAUUACUUUAAGGGCUCCUGGUCAUAGUUUCCACAUUCUACUUCCUUCUCUGUUACAGACUUGAAAGCGUGUGUCAGAUCCCUUCACUAUAUCUUCAGACCUGCCCCAAGGAGUGAGGAAGGGCAACACCAAGAACUUCUCUCCAAGGACCAUAACCUGCGAACCCCAUCUCACCUCCUCCUGCCAGAUGGACACAGUCAUUGUCCUCCUGGCUGAUCCCAUGUCCAUGUCUUGCUCUGGCUACUUUCAUACACCCAUAAUGACAUUUUCCAUCUACUCAAUUUUUUAAAAGCUCAGCUCGAACCUCACGGAUUUUCCUGACAAUCUGCUUCUCUCAAUGGCCUUAAUUUAAGUGAGGGUUGUCAGUCUUACUGGGUCUCGUUUUUUGUCUUAAAUAAUAACUAUUUAUGGGUAUCAAGUGUCUCCUCAAUUUGGCUAUGAUCCUUCACGGCAGAAAUACUGUCUUAUCUUGUGAUCAUGGAGUCACAAGAUUUCAUGGCUAGGAAUAUUCGUCAAAUUAAUCCUAGAUUGAGGAUCAGGUAGUAUGUGGUCUGAUUCUAACUCAACAACUUGCAGAAACUCACUUCUUUUUUCUUUUUUUUUCCCCAGGAGGAGCUAUCGUAUUAACUGACGAAACUCACUUCAUUUCUUUGGACCUGCAAAAUGAGGAUGGGCUCUAAACCACCUCUAAAGUUAAUAUUCUAUGAUUCCAUGAUAAGGCUAUUUGUCAUUUAUAAAAAAAGGAACUUCCACAUAGCCCAGAGAAAGGAAAUGACUUUUUCAAGUUUACAGAGUCAAUUAAUGGACGAAAUGUAAUUUGAAAUUCAAUCUCCUGAUCCCCAGUCUAUUGGGAGUUCUUUCAGAAUGUCCCUUGACUGUCCCUCAAAGUGCCAGCAUGUAUGAAACCUUGUUAAGGAUGUAUGCUCAAUGAAAAUACACAAAUUGACUUAACAAGAAACUAAACUCUCCAGAAAGAUGCAGUUGACCCAAAACUCUGAAUAUCUUUUAUGUUUAAAACUUUCUUUUUUGAACAAAAUUGUACAGUUACUUCUCUAUUUCAACUCUUAAGCCUUUUAUGCCACGUCAAAGGUUAGCUCUCUUUUCUCUCUGUUAAUAAAGUCUUAUUCUUGACUUUGGAACUGUAUGCCAA